rnacentral:rRNA from 1 species
UACGUAGGGGGCAAGCGUUGUCCGGAUUUAUUGGGCGUAAAGAGCGUGUAGGCGGCCAGGGAGGUCCGUUGUGAAAACUCGAGGCUCAACCUCGAGACGCCGAUGGAAACCCCCUGGCUAGAGUCCGGAAGAGGAGAAUGGAAUUCCUGGUGUAGCGGUGAAAUGCGCAGAUAUCGGGAAGAACACCCGUGGCGAAGGCGGCUCUCUGGGACGGUACCGACGCUGAGACGCGAAAGCGUGGGGAGCGAACAGG